UACCGGGAGGCAGCAGUGGGGAAUAUUGCACAAUGGGCGAAAGCCUGAUGCAGCAACGCCGCGUGAGGGAUGACGGCCUUCGGGUUGUAAACCUCUUUUAGUAGGGAAGAAGCGAAAGUGACGGUACCUGCAGAAAAAGCACCGGCUAACUACGUGCCAGCAGCCGCGGUAAUACGUAGGGUGCAAGCGUUGUCCGGAAUUAUUGGGCGUAAAGAGCUCGUAGGCGGUUUGUCGCGUCUGCUGUGAAAUCCCGAGGCUCAACCUCGGGCUUGCAGUGGGUACGGGCAGACUAGAGUGCGGUAGGGGAGAUUGGAAUUCCUGGUGUAGCGGUGGAAUGCGCAGAUAUCAGGAGGAACACCGAUGGCGAAGGCAGAUCUCUGGGCCGUAACUGACGCUGAGGAGCGAAAGCAUGGGGAGCGAACAGGAUUAGAUACCCUGGUAGUCCAUGCCGUAAACGUUGGGCGCUAGAUGUAGGGACCUUUCCACGGUUUCUGUGUCGUAGCUAACGCAUUAAGCGCCCCGCCUGGGGAGUACGGCCGCAAGGCUAAAACUCAAAGGAAUUGACGGGGGCCCGCACAAGCGGCGGAGCAUGCGGAUUAAUUCGAUGCAACGCGAAGAACCUUACCAAGGCUUGACAUACACCGGAAACGGCCAGAGAUG
rnacentral:rRNA from 1 species